rnacentral:sRNA from 1 species
CGACCCUCGUGCUCGAGAGGCGGAUCCAAAGGCAGUCGCUUACCUAGGAGCAUACUUCGGUGUAGCAUAUAUAGCGGCAUAGCCCUUUGACCUAGGAAUCCUAGAAAAUAUAUCUAUUGAAACCCACCAUAAGUAUCUGGGGAGACAGCAGCGGAUACAGAUUUACCAUAAGCAAAAGCGGCUACUGAGGCGAAGGCAAAUAAGGUUCCGUUCCAUGGAAGGAAAAAUAAAUGGAAAUCCAAAUCAGAAAAGGUCUGAUCAAAUCUUUUGCUUUCUUCUUGUCUUGAAUUGUUAUAGAACGGCUUUAUAUAAGGUAUAGUUGGUAGGAUGAAGUGGGAUGAAGCCUUAGUGGAUAUAGCAAGUGUGCCGGGGAUGCGGCUCGGGCGUAGUAGGUCUGGACGCCUAGCAUGAAACAGCCUUCUCUGGUAGCGGCACUAUACCUUAGUAUAGUCUCUCUCUAGCUUCCAGUCUAUAUAAAAGUAGUUAGCAGAGGUCAGAAGGUUCUGUCUGGCGUUACCUCGCGUAAAGGGCUACUUUGGCAUCGGCUCUCUCUCGUUAGGUAAUUACCGAGGCGAAAGCAGCUCUCUCGGAAGUAAGUUUCCCCGCCAUCUUAGUGGGACUAGUCUAAUCAACUUUAACUUCAACUGCCUUACUAUAAAAAGUAAGCAAGUAAACUACCAAGACUCGGAUUUUUUUUUGUUGUGGUAACGCCCUUCUAGAAUUACGUUUAACGUCCCUUUAUUUUAUUACUUUCCCGAUCAGCGCCUCGGGUCGGUAGCCGGGCUCCGGGACAUUACUACCACGGCUACUAUCGACCCGAGCCCAAAGAAGGAAAAGAACGGACUAAAGCGAGGAGUUCAUUGGCCAUACAUAGUGAAGGGGGAUGGGGGUCAACCUCUUUCAUGACCCAUGGCCCCAGUGUGUAACUUGGUUAGCAUUUCUAGAACAAAUUAAGUAGGGUUGGUUUUUCGAUAGGGAAAAAGGGGAGUUAGUUGGCUGUAGUUGAGACACGUUUUUCGGGUGGACGAUAUGGAUUUUUUCGAGAUGGUUAACCACUUUUUUAACCGUCAGAGGGAGGUCAUUCAGAACCCGCUGGCUCCAGUCCAGAAUCGGAAGAGGAAUCGGAAGAGGAAGAGGAAUCGGAAGAGGAACCGGUGGAAGUUCCCCACGCCGAUCCCCAACGUGAGGCACUUCGAAGUGCCAUUCACACUUUGAUUCUUGAGCAAGUUCGGGAAUCUUGUGAGAAGGGGAAAGGGCGGCUUUCCGUUCACUUUCCGGAAAUGGAAGAAAUCUAUUCCAGUGUCGCAGAGAACAUUCUUUCUCGCGAUCUGGAAAUAUCUGCGGAGAUUGAUACUGAAACCCUCCGCGGAUGGGUGGAGGAGAUAAAGGAGAACCCUAAUCCCCUAAAAUCCCUCAUUAGGGAACACCUGUAAGAUUAGUCUGCCGCUUUCUUUCAUAACAGAGCCGGGAAUAACGGCUGGCAUAGAAGUCUCUCGCACGCAAGGAGAUGCAUUUCUGGUACGGGUAGUACUGGACAAGCUCUCAGGG